CCUAGCAAUAGUCACAUGACACAUUUCCUGUCAAGAUGGCGGAAAAUCUCCCCUCGGAGUUUGAUGUGAUCGUAAUAGGGACGGGUUUGCCUGAAUCCAUCAUUGCAGCUGCAUGUUCAAGAAGUGGCCAGAGGGUUCUGCAUGUUGAUUCAAGAAGCUACUAUGGAGGAAAUUGGGCCAGUUUUAGCUUUUCAGGACUUUUAUCCUGGCUAAAGGAACACCAGGAAAACAGUAACAUUUUAAGUGAAUGCUCAGCAUGGCAAGAGAAGAUCCUUGAAAAUGAAGAAGCCAUUGCUCUUAGUAGGAGGGACAAAACCAUCCAACAUGUGGAAGUAUUUUGCUAUGCAAGGUAUGAAAAUCAGGAUUUGGAUGAAGAUGUUGAAGAAGCUGGUGCACUGCAGAAAAAUCAUGCUUCUGUGACAUCUGCGAAGUCCACAGAAGCUGCAGAUUCUGCCUGCCUGCCUACAGAAGAUGAGUCAUUAAGCACUGCAAGCUGUGAAAUACCCACAGAACAAACUCCAAGGAGUGAUCCAAAGAAUGCCCUAGAAGUAAAUGAUGUCGAAGCGACAGGGGAGAAAGAAAACCGUCGUGAUGAUAAAACUUGUGUGCCAUCAACUUCAGAAGAAGAAACAAGUGAAAAUGUGCCUAUAGCAGAAGAUACUGCAGAACAACCAAAGAAAAAUAGGAUUACUUACUCACAAAUUAUUAAAGAAGGCAGGAGAUUUAAUAUCGAUUUGGUGUCAAAGCUGCUGUAUUCUCGAGGAUUGCUAAUUGAUCUUCUAAUCAAAUCUAAUGUUAGUCGAUAUGCAGAGUUCAAAAAUAUUACCAGGAUUCUUGCAUUUCGAGAAGGAAGAGUGGAACAGGUUCCUUGCUCCAGAGCAGAUGUCUUUAAUAGCAAACAGCUUACUAUGGUAGAAAAGCGAAUGCUAAUGAAGUUCCUUACAUUUUGUAUGGAUUAUGAGGAAUAUCCUGAUGAAUAUAAAGCCUAUGAGGAAAUUUCAUUUUCUGAGUAUUUAAAAACUCAGAAAUUGACCCCCAACCUCCAAUACUUUGUCCUGCAUUCAAUCGCGAUGACAUCAGAAACAGCCAGCAGUACUAUAGAUGGUCUCAAAGCUACCCAAAACUUUCUUCACUGUCUUGGGCGGUAUGGCAACACUCCAUUUUUGUUUCCUUUAUAUGGACAAGGAGAGCUCCCUCAGUGUUUCUGCAGGAUGUGUGCAGUGUUUGGUGGAAUCUAUUGUCUUCGCCAUUCAGUACAGUGCCUUGUUGUGGACAAAGAAUCUGGAAAAUGUAAAGCAAUCAUAGAUCAUUUUGGUCAGAGAAUAAUUGCUAAGCAUUUCAUUGUAGAAGACAGUUACUUUUCUGAGAACACAUGCUCACGUGUGCAAUACAGGCAGAUCUCCAGGGCAGUCUUGGUAACAGAUAAAUCUGUAUUAAAAAGCAAUUCAGAUCAACAGAUUUCCAUUUUGACAGUGCCAGCAGACGAACCAGGAGCUUUUGCUGUUCGAGUCAUUGAGUUAUGUUCCUCAACAAUGACAUGCAUGAAAGGCACAUAUUUGGUUCAUUUGACUUGUACGUCUUCUAAAACAGCAAGAGAAGAUUUAGAACCAGUUGUGCAGAAAUUGUUUACUCCAUAUACCGAAACGGAGAUAGAGAUAGAGCAUAAAGGGGCAUUUACUUUUACACAGAAAAUGAAGAAGUUGAAAAGCCAAGACUUCUGUGGGCUCUUUACUUCAAUAUGAGAGAUUCUUCGGACGUCAGCAGGAACUCUUAUAAUGAUUUACCAUCCAACGUUUAUGUCUGCUCUGGCCCAGAUUGUGGUUUAGGAAAUGAUAAUGCAGUCAAACAGGCGGAAGCACUUUUCCAACAAAUCUGCCCCAAGGAAGAUUUCUGUCCACCGCCACCAAAUCCUGAAGACAUUAUCCUUGAAGGAGACAGUUUACAACCAGAGGCUUUGGAAUCCAGUGCCAUCCCAGAGGCCAGCUCAGAGACUCCCAAGGAAAGUGCAAAUCUAGGAAACCCAGAAGAGCCCUCUGAGUAAUGGGUAAACACCAAAUUGGAUACCACACUUGGAAAAUCCUCCUAGCCUCAGUCUUCUUAAUGGAAGAACUGUUUGAAAAAUAUUACAAAGCAACAGCCAGUUGACAUGCAGAAUUACCAAGAUAAGUAGGUCAUAGAAAUCCAAAUGGAGAUUUUCCUUAAAGAGGACUUUCCAAGACCACAAAAUAUUGUAAAGCACAUUGACUUGUCUGCUUUAAGAAACCAAACCUGUGGAAUUAGCAGAUAAAAAGUAUAAAUGGUUUGAUUCCCAGGAAUAGAGCUCUAGUUACUGAACUGAAUCCUAUGCAUUGUUAAUAAUUCUGUGGUGUUAGGACAGCUUUUGCUUGCCACUUUAGAUCUUUGUUUGAAACCCGCAUCUUCAGAAUCAGCUCAUAUAUUUUCUUUGAUUAUUUGAGUUAUAUUUUCUUUAUGGGUAUGAGCAUUGUGACACAAAUGAUAAAAGCCUAUGUAAAUGUAGUUGAGAAAAAACUCAUGUCAUGAUCCAGGCAGGAGCCCAUGUCUGUAAUAGAGGUUUGUUUUGUUUUCUAUCUUGAGGAGUACCAAAAUGCUAAUAUUAAAGUAGAUAUUUUUGCAGAUGAGUCAUGAGUCCAUUACUUAGUGUUUUUUAUUUUAAUGUUAGUAGUGAUGUUUGUGUGUGAAUCCUGAACUCACUAGGAAAGCUCAAUACUGAAGAAACGAAAGAUUCAAAUAGGCUCAUUGGUACUUGGAAAUUUUGUCUUGUCGAGUACCUAGAGCAGUAGCCUAAUUGAGCAUGGACUUAACUUAGUCCUAGCUAUGCUACUGAUGAUAUUAGGCAAAUUGUUUAACUUCUGGGCCUCUGUUUCUCCACAUGUAAGGUGGAAAUAGUAAUACCCUGCCUACUGUAGGAGGAUGACUUUGAAGAUAAAUACAGUGCCAUCCUUAGAAUGGUUUUUCUGGAAUAAAAGUUGUUUCAGAAUUUCCCUGUUGACUUGGGGGUAAAUAUCAAAAAUCUUAUGCAGCAAAUAAUUGCUUGCUGUCAACUCCCCCAACACCAUAGAUUACAGUGUUUUUUUAUUGCACUAAGCCUUUAAAAUAAAAAUCUGUUUCCUAAAUUAGUAUUUUAUAGUCUUACAGACGAGCAAACAUAGUAAAAUGUAGGAUUGUGGUUUUGAAACUUAUUAAGGAAAACACUCUAUAAACUCUUCAUAUUCUUUUUCUAGUAGGUAAACCUGAAACCACCAAGGACUCUAAAUAGAAUAUGACAAUUGAUAAACCCUAAUAUGCACUUAACAUAAAAAUAUAAGGGCUGUACAUAGGCAGCAAAUCUAGUUACAGUGACAGUGCCUAUAUUAAAAUUUUUCCAAAUGCCAAGCUCUGAUGGUUUACCUUUUUUUGAGCAAUAGUAUGGACUUAACUUAUUUCACUAAAUAAAUACAGAAGAAGUUUAUUGUUGUGCAGUCUGGCCUAUAUUGCCAGAGAGCCGUGACUAUAUUAGAAAGCACAUAGUUCUUACUCACAUACUUAAUGUGCAGCAGGGCUCUGACCUCUCCAGAUUUCAGAGAUGAUCUUAAAAUAAGCGAGCUCUGUCUUGUUGCAGACUCAUGAGAAAUGGAGAGAACCUUUCAAACCCCCUGCAGAUACAGCUGAAUCCAGAGGAAAACUUUCCCAGGCUCUCAGGCAACUCCCUCCCGAUUGCAUAGCCUCUCCCCUUUCUCUUUAAUCUCUUCUAUCCCUCUCUUCCCCUUUUAUAAUGUUAUACAAUUCAGGGACAGUAGAAUCACUUUAUAAACUUUGUUAUAUGGAUUCAGAUCUAUCUUAAAUCAUAUUUCCUGUAACCCAACUAUGGCAUGCGCUAAAGGCACAAUACAUACCUAUAAGCUCUGGGUAUUGGCCCUGCCCCGCAGUACCAGCAAUAUAAAAGUUUCCACUAUGUGAGAGUAUUGAGUCUGAAGACAGCUGCAAUAAGUUGCACCCAAUAAGAUAUUGUACUUUGCUAUAGUCUUAGAGUUAAGGCCUCUUGAUGCAGCAUGCACACUUACAUAAACAGUCAAUUAGAAUAGACCCAGAAUAACUAGAAAAAUUUUGAUAGCUUUACUACAUACAGCUCUUUAUAUGUAGAACAAUGAAGGAGAUAUUCUGUGGUCUCAUGGCACAGUCCAUACUGUACCCUAUACAUCCAUUAACCAGCAUCGGAAUUUCUCUUCCAGGUUAUUUAUACUGUUGAAAUGUUUAAAAGCUCCUGAAUUUCAUUAGUGAUGAUAAGAUAUUACACAACUGUUAAAAAUCCUUGAUAGAGAACUUAGUUAUUUCCUGUCACCUCAGAAUGUAAUAGAAAUUAUUCUAAGAACAAUCUUUUCAGCUAUCUUAAUUACUGCAGAUAUUUGUUUUCAUAGCUUUAAAGAAAAAGUUGUCAGUUUUGUUGUAAAACCAUAAACCUGAAGUUCUGUGAAUGAAAUUUAGAUGCUGUACAUGAUGCAGAAAUUUCAGUAGCUAAUUUUAAAUUUUGAAAAUUGCUAUUAUCAAAGAAAUUUGAUUCAUGUAUUUUAAAUGUUUAUGUUAUGCAUGCUCCUUAUUUAUCAAAAAUGAUUAUAUCAUUCAGUUUACUGAUCAAUUUUAAAAUGGAUUACUAACCCUAUAUUGCUACUGUAUUUUUGUCUACUUGGUAUGCCUGCCCAGAAAAACAUAUAUAUAUUUUUUUUUCUAUAGGAAAGCUGUUAUAGACCCACCUCCUAUGAUAUCUAGCUGCUCAUAGAAAAAUGGUCAUGUUAGUGGUUAACUUCUAGAAUAGUGAUUUCUGAGAUUGGUAGACCUUUGUCUAAAAUAAUGGCCAUGCUGAGGAUUAACUUCUGCCACAGCUAUAGUUCCGAAGAAGGCAGUCCUUUGUCUAAAGUCCUAAAAACCUAAAAAAAAAAUUUGUUGAAAUUUGAUUGCUAAAUAGUAGUGAUCCUUUAAAGCAACUUUCUUACAGAUCAGUUAUUUACUGAUAUUGGUAUUGAAUAAUCUCUCUCUACUCUUGGUUGACUUUCUUAUAUACAUUUCAACAAGCAUGGAUACAUAAUUAUUCAUAAUUUGCACACUGUAACAAUAAGGUUUCAGAGGCAAUAAAGUCUUUAAUGCCUUUCAGGUUUGGUAUCCUAUUUUUUAAUGUUAAUAUUUUGUAUAUGCCAAGAAAUUAAAGAUUGUCUUGGAACUGA